rnacentral:rRNA from 1 species
AGCGAACGCUGGCGGCAGGCCUAACACAUGCAAGUCGAACGAAGUCUUCGGACUUAGUGGCGGACGGGUGAGUAACACGUGGGAACGUGCCUUUAGGUUCGGAAUAACUCAGGGAAACUUGUGCUAAUACCGAAUGUGCCCUUCGGGGGAAAGAUUUAUCGCCUUUAGAGCGGCCCGCGUCUGAUUAGCUAGUUGGUGGGGUAAUGACCCACCAAGGCUACGAUCAGUAGCUGGUCUGAGAGGAUGACCAGCCACAUUGGGACUGAGACACGGCCCAAACUCCUACGGGAGGCAGCAGUGGAGAAUCUUGCGCAAUGGGCGAAAGCCUGACGCAGCCAUGCCGCGUGGAUGAUGAAGGUCUUAGGAUUGUAAAAUCCUUUCACCGGUGAAGAUAAUGACUGUAGCCGGAGAAGAAGCCCCGGCUAACUUCGUGCCAGCCGCCGCAGUAAGAC